rnacentral:rRNA from 1 species
GGCUUUUUGAAUUUUAAUAAUAAGUCUGUUCUGCCCCCUGAGUUUUUAAAUGGCCGCAGUAUAUUAACUGUGCAAAGGUAGCAUAAUCAUUAGUUUUUUAAUUGGAGACUUGUAUGAAUGAUUGGACGAGAUAUAAGCUGUUUCAAUAAUAAAUUUAGAAUUUUAUUUUUUAGUCAAAAAGCUAAAAUUUUUUUAAAAGACGAGAAGACCCUAUAGAUCUUUAUUAUUAAUUUAUUAUUAUUAUUUAAGAAUUUUUUUAUUAUAAUAAUUUUCAUAAUUUUGUUGGGGUGACAUUGAAAUUUGUUAAACUUUUAAUUGGGUAAUACAUUUAUUUAUGAAUUUAUGAUCCAUUAUUGUUGAUUAAAAAUUUAAGUUACCUUAGGGAUAACAGCGUAAUUAUUUUGGAGAGUUCUUAUCGAUAAAAUAGUUUGCGACCUCGAUGUUGGAUUAAGAUUAAUUUUGGGCGUAGCUGUUCAUAAUAUUAAGUCUGUUCGACUUUUAAUUUCUU